rnacentral:lncRNA from 1 species
GUACCUGUUAGGGAUUGAGGGGCUUUCUGGAAUGUGCUUUGGCAUAUGAUUGCUGUAGAUAAGUGUUAGGUAGCAUACACCGUUGUAAUGGUCACAUAAGCCCACUGCUAACACAGUUGUCUUCAUGCUACAGCUUUUGCCAUCGACAGCCAUCAGUAUCAUUAAGCCCUGCACAACUACCGUGCUGUUUCUCAUUUAACAACAGGAAUAAAUGAUGCUCAACUGGGACCACUGGCUGAUGUGAUUUAUUAGGGAAAAAAAACACAACGCAAGGAGAGUACGAUAUACAUCUGUUACACUACAAUAGUUUAAAAAAAAUUCUAAGUGUUUGUCAGUUGGGCAUGCUCUCUACAAGGUUUUGUUACUUAUCAUAUGAACAUCAUUUUCUGACUCAAAUAAAGUUCCCUUAAGGUUUCAAAUUUUAAAUGAUAGAGAAUGCAUUUUGUUAAAAUAAAA